AAAUUGAAGAGUUUGAUCAUGGCUCAGAUUGAACGCUGGCGGCAGGCCUAACACAUGCAAGUCGAACGGUAACAGGAAGCAGCUUGCUGCUUUGCUGACGAGUGGCGGACGGGUGAGUAAUGUCUGGGAAACUGCCUGAUGGAGGGGGAUAACUACUGGAAACGGUAGCUAAUACCGCAUAACGUCGCAAGACCAAAGAGGGGGACCUUCGGGCCUCUUGCCAUCGGAUGUGCCCAGAUGGGAUUAGCUAGUAGGUGGGGUAACGGCUCACCUAGGCGACGAUCCCUAGCUGGUCUGAGAGGAUGACCAGCCACACUGGAACUGAGACACGGUCCAGACUCCUACGGGAGGCAGCAGUGGGGAAUAUUGCACAAUGGGCGCAAGCCUGAUGCAGCCAUGCCGCGUGUAUGAAGAAGGCCUUCGGGUUGUAAAGUACUUUCAGCGGGGAGGAAGGGUGUAAAGUUAAUACCUUUGCUCAUUGACGUUACCCGCAGAAGAAGCACCGGCUAACUCCGUGCCAGCAGCCGCGGUAAUACGGAGGGUGCAAGCGUUAAUCGGAAUUACUGGGCGUAAAGCGCACGCAGGCGGUUUGUUAAGUCAGAUGUGAAAUCCCCGGGCUCAACCUGGGAACUGCAUCUGAUACUGGCAAGCUUGAGUCUCGUAGAGGGGGGUAGAAUUCCAGGUGUAGCGGUGAAAUGCGUAGAGAUCUGGAGGAAUACCGGUGGCGAAGGCGGCCCCCUGGACGAAGACUGACGCUCAGGUGCGAAAGCGUGGGGAGCAAACAGGAUUAGAUACCCUGGUAGUCCACGCCGUAAACGAUGUCGACUUGGAGGUUGUGCCCUUGAGGCGUGGCUUCCGGAGCUAACGCGUUAAGUCGACCGCCUGGGGAGUACGGCCGCAAGGUUAAAACUCAAAUGAAUUGACGGGGGCCCGCACAAGCGGUGGAGCAUGUGGUUUAAUUCGAUGCAACGCGAAGAACCUUACCUGGUCUUGACAUCCACGGAAGUUUUCAGAGAUGAGAAUGUGCCUUCGGGAACCGUGAGACAGGUGCUGCAUGGCUGUCGUCAGCUCGUGUUGUGAAAUGUUGGGUUAAGUCCCGCAACGAGCGCAACCCUUAUCCUUUGUUGCCAGCGGUCCGGCCGGGAACUCAAAGGAGACUGCCAGUGAUAAACUGGAGGAAGGUGGGGAUGACGUCAAGUCAUCAUGGCCCUUACGACCAGGGCUACACACGUGCUACAAUGGCGCAUACAAAGAGAAGCGACCUCGCGAGAGCAAGCGGACCUCAUAAAGUGCGUCGUAGUCCGGAUUGGAGUCUGCAACUCGACUCCAUGAAGUCGGAAUCGCUAGUAAUCGUGGAUCAGAAUGCCACGGUGAAUACGUUCCCGGGCCUUGUACACACCGCCCGUCACACCAUGGGAGUGGGUUGCAAAAGAAGUAGGUAGCUUAACCUUCGGGAGGGCGCUUACCACUUUGUGAUUCAUGACUGGGGUGAAGUCGUAACAAGGUAACCGUAGGGGAACCUGCGGUUGGAUCACCUCCUUA
rnacentral:rRNA from 1 species